CAUACGCAUAGCUAAGUUAGCUAUGUCUUUAUUUAGCGUUAGGUGCUUAUUACGUGUUUGUAGCUGUUCAGUUUUAUUGAAUCCUGUUGGAAAGUCUGCACCAAACCGUUCAUAUUGUUUAUGCGACCGCAAUAUUUCACGCUACUGUGCGAAGUGAGGCUCGGGAAUUUUGAUGAUCACAACCUUAUAUUAAAAUAGACUUGUUUCUGUAAAGUUUGCGUUGUUAGGUGUGCCGCCGACUGAAAAUACUGUAUCCUGAGUUUUUCAUUCGUGUACUACAGAGUGUGUGUUUGGCGUGCAGGUGUCAUCACUGCCCUAUGGUAGAGAAUCUUCCAAUUAAACUACAUAGACAGUCGAUAUUUUCUUUACAAGAGAAACUAACGUUAUAGUUUUCUCUUCUUUUACAUACUAUACGUGACUUAAAUAUUGGGUAUUACAUUUGGUUUGGAAGAUAAUUUUCUCGCCAGAAUUUAAA